rnacentral:rRNA from 1 species
UAGGGAAUAUUAGUAAUGGGCGAAAGCCUGAACUAGCAACGCCGCGUGUGCGAAGAAGGCCUUCGGGCUGUAAAGCACUUUUUGAGAGGAUGAGGAAGGACGGUACUCUCAGAAUAAGUCUCGGCUAACUACGUGCCAGCAGCCGCGGUAACACGUAGGAGGCAAACGUUAUCCGGAUUUACUGGGCGUAAAGCGCGUGUAGGUGGUUUGGUAAGUAGGGCGUGAAAGCUCCUGGCUCAACUGGGAGAGGCCGUUCUAAACUGCCGAACUAGAGGAUGGUAGAGGGAGGUGGAAUUCCGGGUGUAGCGGUGGAAUGCGCAGAUAUCCGGAGGAACACCAGUGGCGAAAGCGGCCUCCUGGACCAUUCCUGACACUCAGACGCGAAAGCUAGGGUAGCAAACGGG